UUUAUCGUUAGUGUGGAAUGUGAGAGGUGGUCAGUGGACAAUGAGUUACAGGGCCGUUGGGUGUAUUGCAGCUUCAUUGUAUUUUGACCUGAGACACUCUCUUUUUAAAAUACGACACAGUCAUCAAACUGUGCAAAUAUUGUAUGUGAGAGUAAUUGUCAGAUGAGCUGCUGACUGAUAAAAACGUUUUUUCCAGUUUGAGGGUAUCAUGCGACGGUCCGCAUGUGACACGCCAUUUUCACCACUUGUAACUUAAAAAAAAAGGCACACCAAAUCACAUUUUUAUGUAUUGAUGACCUUCUGUAGGAUGUGCAUUCAGGGUACGGAUAAGGACAUGCAGCAUCUUAAUGAUGAUGGUAAUGAUCAAGACUGGGGGCAGUUGUACUGCAAUGGAUUCAAACUCUCUUACAGUUAGAUUUUUUCUCUUGCUGCAUUUGUAUCUUUUAUCCAAGAAAUGUCAGAUGUCAGCUGAACUGCUCUAACAAGUAAACAGAUUUUCCUUGUGAGAACAAGCUUUGCAGUCUAUCCCCAGGUGUUCAGUUUGCAUUAGAGGAUUGGGUUUGGGCAGAUAUCAGUUAAUCUGGACUUUCUGCAUCCAUGUGAUGUUGACGAAAUUAUCAAAAACUGGUGAGAACAGUUUAAGUUGUGCAGAAUGACAUUUGGUGCUGAUGUUAUUUUUGGUUGAGGUGGCUCCCUAAGGACUGCAUUUUCUGAAUCGGCAAACAGAUAAUGGGGCCUGUUUGACCAAGAAAACUACUUAAAGGUGAGAAGGAGGACCUCCAGAACCAGCCAAAGUAUGUGAAAAAGAAUUGGCACUGGGCUUCAGAUUGAAAGCGGUAAUUUGUUGUUAACUUCCCAUACAGGAGGUGUGUUUUCAGAUAUCGGAUACUUUUACAGUAAAUGAUUUCAGGUUGCAUGUUUGUUUGAAUGGCAAAAUGUUUUUGGGUGUAAUGGGUUGGUUUUUUGCUUUGUAAAGCAGAUGCCUACUAGUGACCCACACAAAGUGGACAAGCUGAUUUUAUGGAAUGGAAAGUUAGUUUUUUUUGUUUGUGUUCUAUAAAGAUUUACAUUUGAUGUUGAGCAUAUACUUUUAUUUAGUUAUAUAAUAGUAUUUUUGCCAAAUCAGUUAA
rnacentral:lncRNA from 1 species